GUGAAUCAUCGAAUCUUUGAACGCACAUUGCGCCCAUUGGCAUUCCAUUGGGCAUGUCUGUUUGAGCGUCAUUACAACCCCUCAGCGCAAGCUGGUUUUGAGUUCGCACGCCGAAUUGAAUUCUGUGAGAACGGUUUUCUUAUCGGGUGCCGGCUUUAAAGUUGUAAGCUCUGCUGGCCGCUUUGCCAAACUAAAAACAUAGUAAAACUACUCUUGUUUACAGUGAGGCUCGGUGGUUUUCGGCCUGAACAAAACCUCAAAUUUUCUAAGGUUUGACCUCAGAUCAGACAAGGAUACCCG
rnacentral:misc_RNA from 1 species